UACGGAGGAUGCGAGCGUUAUCCGGAUUUAUUGGGUUUAAAGGGUGCGUAGGCGGACUGUCAAGUCAGCGGUAAAAUUGAGAGGCUCAACCUCUUCCCGCCGUUGAAACUGGUGGUCUUGAGUGGAUGAGAAGUACGCGGAAUGCGUGGUGUAGCGGUGAAAUGCAUAGAUAUCACGCAGAACUCCGAUUGCGAAGGCAGCGUACCGGCAUCCAACUGACGCUGAGGCACGGAAGCGUGGGGAGCAAACAGG
rnacentral:rRNA from 1 species